GGAUCAAAAAAUUAACAUUAGACUAUGGGGUAAUAAGGUUGGACAAAUUGAUGAAGAUUCUUUGGGCCAUGUUGUCAUAGUAACAUCAACUACUAUCAGAAAACUGAAAGAGUACUUGCUGUCAUCUACAGGUGCAACUAGAGUUUAUAUCGAUUUGGACAUCCCUGAAACAAAUGAGCUUCAAAGGAGGUAUUGCUUGCAAGAUGAUAUGGUAGAGGAAAUACAGCCGGAAGCCCACUUGCAAGGCACAAUUCAAGAACAGAUGCUCUAUAACAGAAGAACCCUAAAAGAAAUAACUGAAAUUACAUAUGAAUCCGAAAAACAGGAAAAGUUCUAUACGACAGAAGCAAUGAUUAAGUCAAUUGAUACAUCAGAUGAGUGGUACUACAUAGGAUGCCGCAAAUGCAACAAAAAAGUACAAAAACAAGGGAACCACUUCUACUGUCCAAAAUGUGAGAAAGAACCUGAGAACACAUGUCCAAGGUACAAACUUAAGCUGGAGAUAUGUGAUCUCAGUGCAACAACAACUUGCACCAUGUUUGAAGCAGAAGCAAAAAAAAAUUGAUUAAGCAAUCUGCAAGCCUUUUGAUAGAUAGGGAUGAUUUUGAUAUCCAUGAGCAGACAAAACAAAUUCAGAAAAUAUGUGGGCAGAAAUAGAUUUUUCAAUUCAAAUUGAAUGACUGUAAUUUGAAGUAUGGUUAUCAAGAAUACACUGUUCAUAGAAUCUUUUUCAUAGAUUCUGAAAAAGAUUCAGCACCACAUGAUUCAAAUGUUGAGCAGAUGGAGGAUGAUAAACCCAUUCUAACAUGCACUAAAAGAACUAGGAGGACUAGGAACACACAUCAUGUUGCACAUUCAGAUGAUGAAGAAUCAGAAAAUCAGGAUAGUGAAGAGAAAGAUGAAUCCAUAUCUGUUGGUGAUAAGGAGUCUAAGAAAAAGGGAAUUCAAAAGGAUAUACAUGGGCAAGCAGACAAGUUAUCAGUUAUGAAAACGAUAAAGCAAGAACCAGAGGAUGAUGAAUAUUAACCGGACCAAAAGGGGUAGGAGAAGCAACACAGGUCGUAUUGUACACCUUGAUGAGGAACCAAAAACUAAAGAUAUUCAGGAAAUAAUCAAAUCAAAAUCUAUGGAAGCAGGCCCCAAGAGAAAGUGUGUCGCAACUCGCAAAUGUGCUGGUAUUGAUAGCAAGCAAGUAAAUAAUAACCAUGAAGAAGAAUCGGAGCAGGAAGGUACUCGGCAGCACAAUGAUUCAAGGCCUAGGACAAGGCGUAGUUGUGUCGACAAAGAAUUGAUGAACAAAGACAUUCAAAAGUGUGGUGUUUCAAGAACUCGGAAGACAAAUCGUUGAUUAGUGGAAAUCCAAUAAUUUAGCAUGUAAUAGAACAUAUACGAGCAUCAGAUUUGUACUUUUUAUGAACAUCGUUGUUUAGAUUGCUUUUUAAAAAAUGUAAUAGCGUACCUUUGUGUUAGUAAAGUCAUUAUUCUCUUAUUAAUCAUGAGUAACUGUUCAGUGUAA